rnacentral:rRNA from 1 species
UACGGAGGGGGCUAGCGUUGUUCGGAAUUACUGGGCGUAAAGCGCGCGUAGGCGGACCUGCAAGUCGGGGGUGAAAGCCCGAGGCUCAACCUCGGAACUGCCUUCGAUACUGCGGGUCUCGAGUCCGGGAGAGGUGAGUGGAAUUCCUAGUGUAGAGGUGAAAUUCGUAGAUAUUAGGAAGAACACCAGUGGCGAAGGCGGCUCACUGGCCCGGUACUGACGCUGAGGCGCGAAAGCGUGGGGAGCAAACAGGGAUUAAGAAACCCU